GACGAACGCUGGCGGCGUGCCUAAUACAUGCAAGUUGAGCGCUGAAGGUUGGUACUUGUACCGACUGGAUGAGCAGCGAACGGGUGAGUAACGCGUGGGGAAUCUGCCUUUGAGCGGGGGACAACAUUUGGAAACGAAUGCUAAUACCGCAUAAAAACUUUAAACACAAGUUUUAAGUUUGAAAGAUGCAAUUGCAUCACUCAAAGAUGAUCCCGCGUUGUAUUAGCUAGUUGGUGAGGUAAAGGCUCACCAAGGCGAUGAUACAUAGCCGACCUGAGAGGGUGAUCGGCCACAUUGGGACUGAGACACGGCCCAAACUCCUACGGGAGGCAGCAGUAGGGAAUCUUCGGCAAUGGACGAAAGUCUGACCGAGCAACGCCGCGUGAGUGAAGAAGGUUUUCGGAUCGUAAAACUCUGUUGGUAGAGAAGGACGUUGGUGAGAGUGGAAAGCUCAUCAAGUGACGGUAACUACCCAGAAAGGGACGGCUAACUACGUG
rnacentral:rRNA from 1 species